GGACGAACGCUGGAGGCGUGCUUAACACAUGCAAGUCGAACGAUGAAGUGGAGCUUGCUCACGGAUUAGUGGCGAACGGGUGAGUAACACAUGAAUAACCUGCCCUCAAUUUCGGAAUAACCCAGGGAAACCUGGGCUAAUACCGGAUACGUAAACCUGUGGCAUCACAUGGUUUUGGAAAGUUUUUCGAUUGAGGAUGGAUUCGCGGCCUAUCAGCUUGUUGGUGAGGUAAUGGCUCACCAAGGCGACGACGGGUAGCCGGCCUGAGAGGGCGACCGGCCACACUGGGACUGAGACACGGCCCAGACUUCUACGGGAGGCAGCAGUGGGGAAUAUUGGGCAAUGGAGGGAACUCUGACCCAGCGACGCCGCGUGCGGGAUGAAGGCCUUCGGGUUGUAAACCGCUUUCAGCAAGGAAGAAGCGAAAGUGACGGUACUUGCAGAAGAAGCACCGGCUAACUAUGUGCCAGCAGCCGCGGUAAUACAUAGGGUGCAAGCGUUGUCCGGAAUUAUUCGUAAAAACCUCGUAGGUGGUUCGUCACGUCGGAUGUGAAAUCUGGGGCUUAACCCCAGACCUGGCAUUCGAUACGGGCGAGCUAGAGUGUGGUAGGGGAGACUGGAAUUCCUGGUGUAGCGGUGGAAUGCGCAGAUAUCAGGAGGAACACCAAUGGCGAAGGCAGGUCUCUGGGCCAUUACUGACACUGAGGAGCGAAAGCGUGGGGAGCGAACAGGAUUAGAUACCCUGGUAGUCCACGCCGUAAACGGUGGGCACUAGUUGUGGGAACCUUCCACGGUUUCUGCGACGGCAGCUAACGCAUUAAGUGCCCCGCCUGGGGAGUACGAUCGCAAGAUUAAAACUCAAAGGAAUUGACGGGGGCCCGCACAAGCGGUGGAGCAUGUGGCUUAAUUCGAUGCAACGCGAAGAACCUUACCUAGGUUUGACAUGGACGUGGUACCCGGGGCGAAAGCUUUGGGGACCCGCAAGGGAGCGUUCACAGGUGCUGCAUGGCUGUCGUCAGCUCGUGUCGUGAGAUGUUCGGUUAAGUCCGGCAACGAGCGCAACCCUCGCCUCCAGUUACCAGCGAGUAAAGUCGGGGACUCUGGAGGGACUAACCCGUUAGGGUGGGAAGGUGGGAAUGACGUCAAGUCAGUAUGGCCCUUACAUCUAGGGCUGCACACGUGCUACAAUGCCUGGUACAAAAGGAACCGAUACCGCGAGGUGGAGGAAAUCCCGAAAGCCAGGCCCAGUUCAGAUUGAAGUCUGCAACUCGACUUCAUGAAGCCGGAAUCGCUAGUAAUGGUAGAUCACGUACGCUACCGUGAAUACGUUCCC
rnacentral:rRNA from 1 species